rnacentral:tRNA from 1 species
GGGCGCUUAGCUCAGCUGGUAGAGCAUUUCAUUUACACUGAAGAGGUCAUAGGUUCGAGUCCUAUAGCGCCCA